GGCCCUUCGGGGUACUCGAGUGGCGAACGGGUGAGUAACACGUGGGUGAUCUGCCCUGCACUUUGGGAUAAGCCUGGGAAACUGGGUCUAAUACCGAAUAUGACCACGCGCUUCAUGGUGUGUGGUGGAAAGCUUUUGCGGUGUGGGAUGGGCCCGCGGCCUAUCAGCUUGUUGGUGGGGUAAUGGCCUACCAAGGCGACGACGGGUAGCCGGCCUGAGAGGGUGACCGGCCACACUGGGACUGAGAUACGGCCCAGACUCCUACGGGAGGCAGCAGUGGGGAAUAUUGCACAAUGGGCGCAAGCCUGAUGCAGCGACGCCGCGUGAGGGAUGACGGCCUUCGGGUUGUAAACCUCUUUCAAUAGGGACGAAGCGCAAGUGACGGUACCUAUAGAAGAAGGACCGGCCAACUACGUGCCAGCAGCCGCGGUAAUACGUAGGGUCCGAGCGUUGUCCGGAAUUACUGGGCGUAAAGAGCUCGUAGGUGGUUUGUCGCGUUGUUCGUGAAAACUCACAGCUUAACUGUGGGCGUGCGGGCGAUACGGGCAGACUAGAGUACUGCAGGGGAGACUGGAAUUCCUGGUGUAGCGGUGGAAUGCGCAGAUAUCAGGAGGAACACCGGUGGCGAAGGCGGGUCUCUGGGCAGUAACUGACGCUGAGGAGCGAAAGCGUGGGGAGCGAACAGGAUUAGAUACCCUGGUAGUCCACGCCGUAAACGGUGGGUACUAGGUGUGGGUUUCCUUCCUUGGGAUCCGUGCCGUAGCUAACGCAUUAAGUACCCCGCCUGGGGAGUACGGCCGCAAGGCUAAAACUCAAAGGAAUUGACGGGGGCCCGCACAAGCGGCGGAGCAUGUGGAUUAAUUCGAUGCAACGCGAAGAACCUUACCUGGGUUUGACAUGCACAGGACGACUGCAGAGAUGUGGUUUCCCUUGUGGCCUGUGUGCAG
rnacentral:rRNA from 1 species